rnacentral:lncRNA from 1 species
GGCCAGGGGAGUUCUAUAGGCUAGAAGUCCAAGAUCAAGGUGUUGGCAGGGUUGGUGACUUCUGAGGCCUCCCUCCUUGGCUUGUAGGUGCUGUCUUCCCUCCCUGUGUCUUCACCUCAUCUUCCCUGUGUACAUGUCCGGGUCCAAAUUCCCUCCUCUUAGAAGCACACCAGUCACAUUGGAUUAGGGCCCAGCCUAAUGACCCCUUUUUAACUUAAUUACCUC